UGGCGACCGGCGCACGGGUGAGUAACACGUAUCCCAACCUCGCCGAUGACUCGGGGAUAGCCUUUCGAAAGAAAGAUUAAUACCCGAUGGCAUAGUUCUUCCGCAUGGUAGAACUAUUAAAGAAUUUCGGUCAUCGAUGGGGAUGCGUUCCAUUAGCUUGUUGGCGGGGUAACGGCCCACCAAGGCAUCGAUGGAUAGGGGUUCUGAGAGGAAGGUCCCCCACCAUUGGAACUGAGACACGGUCCAAACUCCUACGGAAGGCAGCAG
rnacentral:rRNA from 1 species